rnacentral:rRNA from 1 species
GAUGAACGCUAGCGGGAGGCCUAACACAUGCAAGCCGAGCGGUAUUUGUUCUUCGGAACAGAGAGAGCGGCGUACGGGUGCGGAACACGUGUGCAACCUGCCUUUAUCAGGGGGAUAGCCUUUCGAAAGGAAGAUUAAUACCCCAUAAUAUAUUGAUUCGCAUGGAUUGAUAUUGAAAACUCCGGUGGAUAGAGAUGGGCACGCGCAAGAUUAGAUAGUUGGUGAGGUAACGGCUCACCAAGUCGAUGAUCUUUAGGGGGCCUGAGAGGGUGAUCCCCCACACUGGUACUGAGACACGGACCAGGCUCCUACGGGAGGCAGCAGUGAGGAAUAUUGGACAAUGGGUGAGAGCCUGAUCCAGCCAUCCCGCGUGAAGGACGACGGUUCUAUGGAUUGUAAACUUCUUUUAUAUAGGGAAAAACCUACUUACGUGUAAGUAGCUGAAGGUACUAUAUGAAUAAGCACCGGCUAACUCCGUGCCAGCAGCCGCCGUAACAC